CCUACGGGCGGCUGCAGUGGGGAAUAUUGGACAAUGGGGGGAACCCUGAUCCAGCCAUGCCGCGUGUGUGAAGAAGGCCCUCGGGUUGUAAAGCACUUUCAGUGAGGAAGAACGCCUGGUGGUUAAUACCCAUCAGGAAAGACAUCACUCACAGAAGAAGCACCGGCUAACUCCGUGCCAGCAGCCGCGGUAAUACGGAGGGUGCGAGCGUUAAUCGGAAUUACUGGGCGUAAAGCGCGCGUAGGUGGCUUGAUAAGCCGGUUGUGAAAGCCCCGGGCUCAACCUGGGAACGGCAUCCGGAACUGUCAAGCUAGAGUGCAGGAGAGGAAGGUAGAAUUCCCGGUGUAGCGGUGAAAUGCGUAGAGAUCGGAAGGAAUACCAGUGGCGAAGGCGGCCUUCUGGACUGACACUGACACUGAGGUGCGAAAGCGUGGGUAGCAAACAGGAUUAGAUACCCGUGUAGUC
rnacentral:rRNA from 1 species